UCACCCCUGGAAAGGGAACUCCCUGACCCCUUGUGCUUCCCGAGUGAGGCAAUGCCUCGCCCCUGCUUCGGCUGGCGCACGGUGCACUCACCCACUGACCUGCGCCCACUGUCUGGCACUCCCUAGUGAGAUGAACACGGUACCUCAGAUGGAAAUGCAGAAAUCACCUGUCUUCUGCGUCGCCGGCUCUGGGAGCUGUAGACCGGAGCUGUUCCUAUUCGGCCAUCUUCAAAAUUUGUUGGACCCAAAUACUGAAGAAUGGCCCUUGGUCCCCAAGGAUUUCUGAUAACAAAUGAUCCAGAUUUGGGAGCUGGUCCUUGGAGGCAUGGGGACCCAGGUGGCUGUAAAGUUUCAUUCAAGGUUUGCUGUGAAGAUUGAAUAAUAUUUUGGCAUGGAAAUUAUCACAGAAGAAGGCCUAACAUGUGAUAUGUGUUCAAUAAAUCUUAACUGCA